rnacentral:rRNA from 1 species
UACGUAGGGUGCGAGCGUUAAUCGGAAUUACUGGGCGUAAAGCGUGCGCAGGCGGCCAACUAAGUCAUACGUGAAAUCCCUCGGCUUAACCGGGGAACUGCGUCUGAUACUGGAUGGCUUGAGAUUGGGAGAGGGAUGCGGAAUUCCAGGUGUAGCGGUGAAAUGCGUAGAUAUCUGGAGGAACACCGGUGGCGAAGGCGGCAUCCUGGACCAACACUGACGCUGAGGAGCGAAAGCCAGGGGAGCAAACGGG